AGCAGAAUGCAGAGUCAGAGCAGGGGAGACAAACGAUCUGUUAUUGUACAGAGGAGGAAAAUGAGACUCAGAGAUGCUGAGGACCCAGCUCCUUGGUGGCAAAGCCGGUCUGAAAGCUCGGUCUCUAACCCUGAACUCUUUGAGAUUCUCUGGAGGGUUCUGUGUUUGUUUCUACGGCUGCUUCAACCACAAACAGCACACAUUUAUUUCCUUACGGAUCUGGAGGUCAGAAGUCUCAAGUGGUCUGCAGGGCUGUGUUCCUUCCGGAGGCGCUGGGGACAAUCUGUUUCUGUGCCUUUUCCAGCUUCCAGAGGCCACCCACAUCUUUUUGUUCACGACUCCCUUCCUCCAUCUUCAAAACCUGCAAAGCAGCAUCUUCAAACCUCUCUCUCUCUCCCUCUGCGUCCUUCUGUCAGACUCUGACCCUCUGCAUCCCUCUUAGAAGGGCCUUGUGAUGACAUCAGUCCCACCAGGAUAACCCAGGAUAAUCUCUCCAUCUCAAGAUCCUUACCUCGAUCACAUCUGCGAAGUCCCAUCUGCCUUAUAAGAUUUGUGGACCAGCUGGGGUUCAGUUGAUCUAAGUUACGCUCUGCUCCAAGCUGCAAGCUGGGUUCAGUGAUGUGAGGAUCUCCUCUGAAGAGGAAAGCGAGGUGUGACACAGUGUGCUUGGCAUUGGAGAAGGAAAAUGGGGAAGAACCCACAGAGCCCUGAGCUACCUGCUGCCAAUCCUCUUUUUGCUGAGGAAGACUGGCCCUGAGCUAACAUCCGUGUGCAUCCUCCUCUACUUUAUACGAGGGAUGUCUGCUACAGCAUGGCUUGCCAAGCGGUGCCAUGUCCACAUCCAGGAUCCAAGCCAGUGAACCCCGGGCCGCCGAAGCGGAACAUGCGCACCUAACUGCUGAGCCACCGGGCUGGCCCUUACUGGGGAUUUUUAAAACUUAAAUUCCGUGUUCUCAUUUUAAUUAGACAGUCAGUAACUCUGUGAGGUCAAGAAAACCUUUCUUCCACUGUCCUACUCUGAUGUGGUCAACACUGGAGACUUAGAAACCAGUCUCCUCUGCCUCCCACAGUUACCAGCAUGGAAAUAUGACCACAAUAAAUCGGCAAGAGGGAAUAAAAAGUGAUUCACCAAUCAUUACAUACAAUAUAAUCACACUUUUAUAAAAGGAUAAAAAAGUUUAUCCCCAUGUGUAUAGAAAAAUGUCCAGAAAAGCACGCAUUAAAGGGUCAAGAGGGUUGUUCUGAGUGGUGGGUGUAGACUUCCAUUUACCUUGCCACUAUUUUACUAAAAUGUAUUAAAUUCUCACCCUAAAUCUGAGACACUCUGCUAGACACCCACACUUUUCGGUUUUAUCUAGUAAUUUGCUCUAUGCGUCUUUCCUUACGAUUAGCUUGUAUUUUUUUAAUCAGAGCAGGAAAAGGGGGAGCUGUCUCUUCAUUGACAAAUGAAGUACUUAGCACAUAGUACUUAGAACCUGGUGGGUGCUAGGUAAUGGUGGCCAUUACUUUACCAUUCUGUGAAUCUUGGGUCUUCAUCUGCCGUAACUUCUUGAGCAACCAUUGUGACAACAGCAGCAAUGACAGCAAGUAUUUAUAUAGAGUGUUGAUUACGUGCCACGCUGUUCUGAUAUCCAUCGCAUGUGGGCCUCACGAGAGCUAUGAGGUGACUAUUAUUCCCAUUUUACACAUCAGAAAAUGGAGGCAGAAGUACAGUGGCUGCACCAUGGGCCGCCUCCCUCCACCCCCAGCCCAGCCUGGGACUCAGAGCAAUUUUCUUCACCUUCUCUACCCCAGCACCUGCUCUGAUGGGAACAACAGAAAUAGAUGCACAUACACGCACAUGCACACACACACACCCAGAAAUGGAUGGGGUGGGGCUGGCCUGGGUUGUUGUUGGUGACUCAGUCGGUCAGAGGAAAAGGCAGCGUAAUGCAGACAAAUACAAGAUAAUAAGUCUGGAGCCAAUGAACCGAAAGAUAGGGAGAGCACAUCUUAAUAAAGAGUCACGAGUCCCUCCAGCCUGGAAAGGGAUUUAGAGGUUACUGUGGAAAAAAAAAAUUUUUUUGAAGUCGUCAGCACCUUGUACUGCCAGAGUAAACUUGGGAAUCCGGGGGUCCCUGUGUCCACCCUGUGCUCUCCUCUCCCACGGAGGGAAGCCAGCAGUGGGUGGGUCUGGUCCUUCCGUCCUGUUGGGGCCUGGCCGGGAGCAGGGGGGGUCCUUUUUCUGCUGUGGGCGAAUGCUGAUACUGUGUGCAAAGCGGGCUGCUGAGUUUGAAUGAUGGGAUCGUGUACGUGGGCACAGUCACAAGGGCUGGGGUGCGGGAAAAGACGAGCUGCGGGCUCUCAGAGUAAGGGGGCUCAUGGUGGCUGGAGAACCUGGGAAGGAAGGUGAAACGGGAGUGACUUGCAGAUGGUUGGGGUGAAUGGAUGCGUCUCAAGGGCUAAGACUGGAAGGACUCAGACAAACAGGACAGCUGACAGCCAGAGGGAAGUCUACCAAGGCAGCAGUGUGUAUUUCCAUGCUUCGUUCCCAAGACGCACGAUGCUUUAAGUAGCCAUGUUGAGACAACCUGAGGUCUGGGGGAAAGUAGACUCUGACGCCAAACACACCAGCUUUGGGUCGUAUCCUUCCCGCUGAAUUCCUGAGUCAAUGGAAUUGAUGCCUUGCUGCUCAGAGCCUCAGUCCCCUCAUCUCUAAAAAGGGGACCAGAUUGGUGGCUGAGAGGAGAUGAUGUGUCUGCUCGAGCCAAGCCUUCCACUGGCCCCGCUGGACUUCAGACGCAUGCAGCCAUGCCUGCUGAACUGGUGGGGAGGGCGGGUGGAAGAUGACUCAGGGGCAGGAUGGUGUAGAAAAGCUUCCCAGGAGGCAGGGCAAAAAGGGUCAGCUGCAGCAAAUAAUCCAGGGACAGCGGCUCUGUGCUUGGGGGCAGUAGAGAACUGAGCACAGUGUGAUGCUCGUGGCUGAAACCACACCAGCGGGCAUUUCUGAGCCCAAAGAGCAGACCGAGAUAAUAUCAACAGCAAUAACAACAGUUAGUUCACUCUUCACACUUUAAAGGUGGAUAUUAUUAUCCUCAUUUUACAGAUGAGGAAACUGAGGCACAGAGAGGUUAAGUAAUUUACGUCAGGUCACCCACCCAGUAAGUGGCAGAGCUGGGAUUCAAACCGAGGUCCCCUGGCUAAAUUGCACAUGCUCUUAACCACUGCACAUAUAUGGCUCCACUGUUAGAAAUAAAACCUCGGUAUCAAAAUGAGACUGAGAAGCAAGAACAACUCUCUCCUAGACCACGAGCUAGCUUUGGCAUCUAAAGGCUUAGGAGGGCAACCAUCAGAGGGACUCUUUGGGGCCCAAAGGGGAGGCAGAGCCACCAGGGGAGGAGAACCCUACGGCAGGAAGGACUGGUGCCCAGCAGAGCAGCAGCGGCACGCAUGAAAACUAAAGGAGGGAGUGCAUCCUCGAGGAAUCUUCAGAGACCACGGGGCGUCAGAGCUGCCUGAGGAGAAAUUUGCAUGAGGCCAAGACUGCCCAGGUAAGCACGUGGGGCCGGGGGUGCUGGGGUAUUUGGAUCGUCCAGACUGGCCAGCUUGCAAGAAACUGUAACUAUUUCCGUCUUUUUUGUGCCUUGUUACAGAGGGGCAAGAUGCAAUCUUCUUGGAGAGGGAACAGGGCUGGGGAAGUCCAUUUGCCUCUGAUUUCAAGAAUGCUUCUCUAAGGGAAAGGAGGGUUCAGGAUGCUUCGAGCAGGGGAGAGAUUUCAAGGUGACCUUGUGGAAGGAGCCGGCAUUAUGAAAUGUUUUUGAUCGAGUGGAACAAGAUAAGCUGUUCAUGUUGUGGAAAGGUUCAAAGCCCCGGACACCAGCUGAAAUAAGAAAAAUUCAAUUUCUGGCAUAAGAUUGUGCUUUUUCUGCCUUCUAGAAGACAGACACAUCCACCCCUCCCUCCUCCCCCUAAGAAAAGCAGAACGCUCCUAGGUGGUGAUCCUGACAUAAGCAGGGUUGUGAAGGCAAGGGUGCAUGGCACAGGUGAUGCUGCCCGCAGGUAUUUGGAAAUAGGACUGCUGUUUCAGACUAGAUUCUUCCAUACCACCUCUCACGUGACCAGGAUCGGGACCAGGCAGUGGCCCGGGGUUAUUUCAAUAUCCUGUUUUCUUUUGUUCUCCCACAAAAGCGAUACAGAAAACUCCUCCGUGUUUAUCUAAAACAGCACUAUCCAGUGGAACUUUCUGCCUGGAUGUAAAUGUUCUCUAUCUGUGCUGCCCAAUAUGGCAGCCGCGAGCCACACGUGGCCACUGUGCACCGGAAGUGUGGCAAGUGCAACAGAGAAACUCAAUUUAAAAUUUUACUUCAUUUUAAUUGAUUUAAAUAGCCACAUUUGGCCGGUGGUUACCUCAUGGACAGCACAGCACUGAAAGAUUCGGUGGAAAAAGCAUGAUCCUCAGGGCCAUCCAGAAUGGGCUUGAAUUCUGCCUCCACCAUUUACUAGCCGUGCGAUCUUGGGCAGAUGUCUUAACCUUUCUGACCCCCAGUCUCUUCACCUAAAAAAUGGGGAUGAUGGUAUCUACAUUGCAGGAUUCUUGUGGAAAUGAGUUACAGAUACAGAACACAGGGCAGGCCCAUAUGCAAUUAGUAAAUUGCAGCUGUAGUAACUAAAUAAUAAGCAUGUCUCGCAGCUUCAGUAUUGGCUGGGAUUUCUGAGCCAUGGACACGGGCUCUCGCCGAUGCUGAUGGGGUCAAGUGAAAUUGAGGAACAAGGGGGUUGAUCUGUAGUUUCCUGUGGAAAAGGCAUUAGAGUGGACAGUGGGUAAUGAUGAGGAGCCCGUGGGGACCAGUCAGCAGGACACGUUCAGACUCAGGGACCACCAGUGAGGCAGCAAGCGACCUGGGGCGCUGGUGGGCAGGCAGGACUGGGGAGGGCUGCCUCUCCCCAUCCCCCUGCUCUGCUCAGCACUGAUUACCAUGCAGCACGGUGGGAAGAAGCCCCUCUCCUGGAGAUGUCAGCGCCCAGAGAGGGCAAGGAGGAGCCAGCCGGUGCUGAGAUGCAGAGGCGGCAAAGGGAGGGCAGACAGAGGACGCGAGAUAAACAUGAACACGGGGAAAGACAGAGAGACGGGGAACGAGACGGAAAUAGACAGAGGCAGGGACAUGAAGGAAGAAAGGACUCAGAAGGAAAGAAUAAAGACGGACAGGUACCAGAGAGCCAGGGACGGGCAGAGAAAGAGACGGAAAGAGACAGAGACAGACAGACAGAGAGACAGGCAGAGCGAGAUCCAGAGAGACAGAGAAAAACACAAGGAACUCACACACUCCUGAAGGAGAGAUGGAGAGACAGGCUGGGAGAGACGGAGUGGACACAGAAAGAGAAAUGAGCAGAAGGAGGGAAGAGAAAGUCGAGAGGCACAGCCAGGAGAGGCCUCUGUGGAGAGGCGGGGAAGAUGCUGAGACCCCAGGAAGCAGUUCUACAGAGAAGCCCAAGAGGAGGGGAGCACAGGUUGUCCCGGAGCGCCAGGGAGGGGACGGGCGGGCACCGGGGAGGGGGCACAGGGCAGGGGAAGAAGCCUGAUGGGCUUCCCAGCAGAAGGCAGGUUGCCAAUGAACUCCCUGGGUGGGUGGGUGCUCUCUGUUCCCCAUCUUCCUCCCUUCCGGCCUCCUUACCAUCAAAAGGCGGGCCGGGGGCAGCACAGGUCUCAGGCCCCUGCUCGCCCGCUCUCCCUCCCUCUGUCUUUCUCCGAGUCGUUAAUCUUGGAGGACAGGUUGGUCUUUUAUUAGCUAUCUCCAAGGGUCAGCUUAGAAGGAUCUGAGGAGAACCGGGUUCAGAAUGUCAUUUGUCAUCGGGGGCCUGCCGGGCGGCCGCAUCGAUUCAGCCCCCUCCUGGCCUCCUAUUAACGGAGGAGGCAAAAGCUGCUCUUAACCUUCCCCUCCCUGGAGUUUCCCCUCCCCUCUCCUUCCUGUUGACGCAUCAGGGCUGCGCCCCAGGGAGACAGGCGGCCAUGGGCGGAUGGCCGGGCUGGGGGCAGGGACCGUCACUCCCGGGGAAAACUGGAGGGGUGCCCUGCUCCCUGGAAUGCCUCGCCCCCUAGACCAGCGGUUCUCAACCUUGGCUGCACGCUGGGCCUCUCCGGGAUGGUUUUGAGAAAUGCAGAUGCCUGGGCUCACCCACAGAGGUUCUGAUGGAAUUGCUCCGGGGUGAGGCUCGGGCGUUGCAUUCCUUAAAACUGUCCUUUGGGUGAUUCUAAGGAGCAACCAGGACUGAGAUCUGCUGAGCUAGAUCCUCCUCUGCCUGCCUUCUUGUCAUCAUUCAAGUCUUAGACAAGGGACACCACCUCCGAGAUGUCUUCCCUGAUAACCCUCCCUCCAAACAACUGUCUGUGACAACACCCCAUUCGUUUCCUACAGAGCACAAGUAGCUAUCUACAGUAGUCAUGAAGAGCUUGGACUCUCAAGCCGGAGCGUGUGGGUUCAGAUCCCUGAGCUGCCCCCCAACACUUAAGAGAAUUGGGGCUGGUCGUGUAUUCACGUGCCUCCAUUCCUCUCCUGUCCGAUGGGAGCGAUGACACUUACUCCCAAGAGCUCUGGCGAGGACUCAUGAGCUCAUGAACCUGCCGGGCAGAGGAGAGCGAGUGCUCGGUGCAGAGCGAGCCCUGCGUCGGUGUCUGCUACUGUUGUGACCUUGGUUUUGUUUCUCUCCCCCUUGAGUAGAUGCUCCACGACAGACCUAGGUCCUGAUGGUCUUCGUCAGCAUCCCCAUUUUACAGAUGAGGCAACUGAGGCCUGGAAAAAAAUCUUGAAAAACAAAUCUGAGUGGCUCAGCCCAAACUAGGCACUGAUUCCUCUUGGAUCAAAUGGACUCACCCUGGUGCAAUCAGCUGUGGCCACAAGGGUGGAUCAUGCGGUACAAACAGUGCUGUCUGUUGGACAGGACCUGGGACAGGUGGACACUUCCAAAGGAGACAUGGGUUAACCAGCACGUCAACUUGAUCUCAGCCUCCGGUUGUUCUUUGCUAAGGAAGUGACAUGGCCUCGUGAUCAGUGUGGCUAAGAGGAUGAUCCUUGUCUGGUUUGAAGGGUCUUUGGGGGUCCCACAUUGCUUUAUUCUAUGUUGCAAUGGUCAUGUCUUGCUUUUAUCCUAACGCCCUAAGCACUCACUCUGUUGCCACAUGACAUCUCAUCCUCUCUCUCUCUCCUUCCUCACCCAAGUGGCCCGUUGCGGUACUUCUGUCCUCUUUUCUGAAUUAAUAUUCUUUUGGGGGACUCCGUGAGGUCUAGUUAUCUGUUUGGGUGAGAAGAAUUACUUAUUCUUCGUUCAAUUCUGAGCUGUAAACAGACUCCGCGUGCCAUGGGGAAAUGUAGCCGUGGUACUUUCUGACCAAUGCCGUUGCGUGUUCCCCCAGGUGCAGAAAGAGCAUGUGAUGGGCAUUGUACUCACUCCCUCUGCAGUGUUCUGUGGCCUUAGAAAUGGGGGACUUACGAUGCAGUUACUGCCCGCCUACUGUCUAGACAUGACAACGAGAAUGUCAUGAGUACACGAGGGUAACAGGUUUGUCACAAUGCACUUUCCACCAAAUGCCACCAGUUCUUCCCUGGGGCAUGUGGAGAAUUGCACUGCCUCACCCCAUUGAGGUUAGAUGUGGGCAGGUGACUUGUCAAAUGAAAGGUGAGCAGGAAUAAAACAUAUCACUUCUGAGUGGAAACUUUAAGAGCCAGCGUGGUUUUCCAUGGACUUUUUCCUCUAUCAUGGUGCCCGCAACACCCCAGAGUGGCUGCUCCAUCUAACUGGGUCCUGGAGAGAGGAGGAGAACCCCGAGGUGACCUGUAGUUGACUUUUGUUCAAGCUGUGGCAACGGGGGGCUGUUUGUUACCACGGUGUAACUUGGCUUAUCCUAACUGAUGUAUAGGAUAUGGGUAUACACAUAAAAGGAUUUCUUUCAGGAGUUUACUCAUCUACCCAUCCAUCUGUUCAAACAUAUAUUGUGUACUUACUGUGCAAAAAGUAUUUAAAUCAAGGAGAAAUAGAAGUGAUUGAAAAAAGUGGUGUCAAAUAGGACGUGUGAUGUCUUGUGUACAUGUGUAUGUGUCUAUAUAUACAUGUCUACAAAAUAACCAGAUUGAGUACUGACUAUGAGUGAGGCAUAGUGUGAUUUGCAUGAAUUAGCUUAUGCAGUUUGCUUUUCUUUAAAUUAGAACCAUAUUACAGUUUAGGGAAAAAACCUUGGGGCUCAGAGAGGUUCUGGAACUUACACAACAUUGCAUAGCUAAUAAGUAGGAGAUUUGGGUUUCAGAUCGAAGUGUGUCUGCCUCCAAACGACUUCACCACCACGCUAUCUUCUCCCUUUUCAAAUGCUAAGAUAGUUCUGUGUUUCUCCAGAGAACCACAAGAAAGCCCAGAAAAAAUAAAAACUCUGCCCUUUCAAGUCCUUGCAGCAGCCAAGCUCUUGGGUUUGCUUUGACAGGUUGUCUUCCUUUCAAAAUCAAAAUGAGGCAGCACAGAUGGAAAUAGAGGCCAGCUGUUUGGUGGAGCAAGAUACCUGCGCGCACGCCAGCAGGGGCCGGGCUGUUAUUCCAGGAGCCCCUGGCGUCGGCGGUUCUGCUCAUGCCUCAUCCCACUGUGCGUGCAUCCGCUCGGGCUGCGCCUUCCCCAAAUAAGGGAGAAUCUCUACAAAUUGCAUGUUUUUAUGCAGACUUAGGAAAAUGUGAGGGAUUACGGUAAGAACGGACUGAUACCAUCAUUAAUCAACAACCAGGGAGAGAAAAGGAAGGGAUGAAAAUGUAGGUUCUUGUAUUAGGAGAAGAUCUGUGGGAAGAGAUUAGAAAUAUCGAGAAGCUGGAAAGUGGUUUCUUUUUUUUUGCAAAUGCUUUUCCAUUCUUGAAGUUUUAAAAGUUGUGGGGGAGUUUCCUGGCCACAGAGAGAAAGCCAAUAAAGGCAGCCCCCAAGGCAUUCAUUCGUUCAUUCAUUUGAAAAUCACUUUCUCAGUGCUCACUGUGUGCAACUGGGAUGUGAAGAGAGAAACAAAAUUUUAUGUAACAGACACUUAAAUAAAACCUACUAUGUGCCAGGCACUGCUCUAAGCAUUUUACCCGUAUUAACUCAUUUAAGGCUCACAAAAACCCAGAGAGGUAGAUACUCUUAUUAUCUCCAUUUCGCAGAAGAGGAAACUGAGGCACAGAGAAGUUUAAUUACCUUGCCCGAAGUCAUGCAGCCUUUGAGAUUUGAAGUGCGGCAGGUCUGGCUCCAACACUGUGCUCUUUAUUGCACUGCCUCUCACGGGGUCUUGGUCCUCAAGCUCACAGGUUGGUAGGGAAGAGGAACUUAGACACAAAACAGUCAUUUUAAUAAUGUGAUACCUAUUUUGAUGGAGACAUCCAAGGAGAAAGAAUUCAGUUCUGCUUGGGGACAUCGGGGAGAGCAUCACUGAGAAAGAGAUCCUUAAAUGCCAUCACGCAUUUGUUAGCCACGUGGGCAAGUGCAGGAAGGGGCCCCCUAGGUGGAGGGACCAGCUUGAGCAAAGGCACAGAGGCGAGAGGCAGCCUAGGCUGAGCAGGAAAGCGCUGAGGCAUGCAACAUGCAAAGGAGGGCAGAAGAGACAAGCAAGGAGGGUAGAUUGGGCAAAACGAGAGAGGCUCUUAUAUUCCAACUAAGGCAUUUCUGGGGUUGGGCGUCUGCCUUCUGCAAUGCUGAUACACACAGAAAAAAGCAUCAGGUUGCAUCAGGUCUCCCAGCUGUACUUUAAAAAGGUGCCUGGCAUCAGUGGGGAGGGCUGGCUGGGAAGGAGGGUAGCAGAUCUGUUCAGAGAGAAGCCUUUAGAAUCAGACAGCUCCGAGCUUGACUCUCAGCUCUCAGUUUCUACUCAUGUGACCUCAGGCAACCUACUGGACCUCCUGGAGCCUCGGCUGCCAAGUGGGUCGUUGCAAGGACCGUACAGAGUGGCUGCUGGGUCUGUUGCUGGCACGCUUUUUCUUGGAUCUGGAUGUAGGUAUACUAUUUAAGAGGAUAAUACUCUACAAGAUGAAGGGGGAAAUAUGACACUCUUGACCUGUCAUGAACAGGGUUGUUUCCCCUAUCCCAUAGUGGGAAAGAUUCAUUUGCUCUGAUCCCACACUGGGAUCCCCUCAAGACCAAAUGCAAGGUCAAGUUGCUCUGUUGUCAGCAGAGGUGGCAUGGGAAACCAACUCAACACUCUUGGCUUUAUAAUCAAGGGCUCUGAUCUCUCGCUUCUCAAACUUUAACGUGCACACAAAUCACCCCAGAUCUUGUUAAAAGGCAUCACAGGAAAAAAAAAUGUGUAACUAUUUAUGGUGAUGGAUGUUAACCAGACUUAUCGUGGAGAUCAUUUCCCAACAUAUAUAAAUAUCGAAUCAUUA
ensembl:lncRNA